AGCGAACGCUGGCGGCAGGCCUAAUACAUGCAAGUCGAACGAUCCUUCGGGAUAGUGGCGGACGGGUGAGUAACACGUGGGAACGUGCCCUUUGGUUCGGAAUAACUCAGGGAAACUUGAGCUAAUACCGAAUGUGCCCUUCGGGGAAAGAUUUAUCGCCAUUGGAGCGGCCCGCGUCUGAUUAGCUUGUUGGUGGGGUAAUGGCCUACCAAGGCUACGAUCAGUAGCUGGUCUGAGAGGAUGAUCAGCCACACUGGGACUGAGACACGGCCCAGACUCCUACGGGAGGCAGCAGUAGGGAAUCUUGCGCAAUGGGCGAAAGCCUGACGCAGCCAUGCCGCGUGGAUGAUGAAGGUCUUAGGAUUGUAAAAUCCUUUCAGCGGGGACGAUAAUGACGGUACCCGCAGAAGAACGCCCCGGCUAACUUCGUGCCAGCAGCC
rnacentral:rRNA from 1 species